AGAGUUUGAUCAUGGCUCAGGAUGAACGCUAGUUACAGGCUUAACACAUGCAAGUCGAGGGGGAAACGACAUCGAAAGCUUGCUUUUGAUGGGCGUCGACCGGCGCACGGGUGAGUAACGCGUAUCCAACCUGCCCACCACUUGGGGAUAACCUUGCGAAAGUAAGACUAAUACCCAAUGACGUCUCUAGAAGACAUCUGAAGGAGAUUAAAGAUUUAUCGGUGAUGGAUGGGGAUGCGUCUGAUUAGCUUGUUGGCGGGGUAACGGCCACCAAGGCGACGAUCAGUAGGGGUUCUGAGAGGAACGGUCCCCCACAUUGGAACUGAGACACGGUCCAAACUCCGUACGGGAGCA
rnacentral:rRNA from 1 species